AGUAAUGUAGUUAAGUUAAUAUUAAUUUGUCAAGUUAAAGAUGAUUUUAUACCU
rnacentral:tRNA from 1 species